UACGGGGGGGGCAAGCGUUGUUCGGAAUUACUGGGCGUAAAGGGCUCGUAGGCGGCCAACUAAGUCGGAUGUGAAAUCCCCAGGCUUAACCUGGGAACUGCAUCCGAUACUGGAUGGCUUGAAUCCGGGAGAGGGAUGCGGAAUUCCUGGUGUAGCGGUGGAAUGCGCAGAUAUCAGGAGGAACACCAAUAGCGAAGGCAGCUCGCUGGGACGGUACUGACGCUAAGGCGCGAAAGCGUGGGGAGCGAACAGG
rnacentral:rRNA from 1 species